rnacentral:rRNA from 1 species
GACGAACGCUGGCGGCGUGCCUAAUACAUGCAAGUAGAACGCUGAAGGAGGAGCUUGCUUCUCCGGAUGAGUUGCGAACGGGUGAGUAACGCGUAGGUAACCUGCCUGGUAGCGGGGGAUAACUAUUGGAAACGAUAGCUAAUACCGCAUAACAGUAGAUAUUGCAUGAUAUCUGCUUGAAAGGUGCAAUUGCAUCACUACCAGAUGGACCUGCGUUGUAUUAGCUAGUUGGUGGGGUAACGGCUCACCAAGGCGACGAUACAUAGCCGACCUGAGAGGGUGAUCGGCCACACUGGGACUGAGACACGGCCCAGACUCCUACGGGAGGCAGCAGUAGGGAAUCUUCGGCAAUGGACGGAAGUCUGACCGAGCAACGCCGCGUGAGUGAAGAAGGUUUUCGGAUCGUAAAGCUCUGUUGUAAGAGAAGAACGAGUGUGAGAGUGGAAAGUUC